rnacentral:rRNA from 1 species
GAUGAACGCUGGCGGCGUGCCAAAUACAUGCAAGUCGAGCGAACAGACGAGGAGCUUGCUCCUCUGACGUUAGCGGCGGACGGGUGAGUAACACGUGGAUAACCUACCUAUAAGACUGGGAUAACUUCGGGAAACCGGAGCUAAUACCGGAUAACAUGUUGAACCGCAUGGUUCAACAGUGAAAGACGGUCUUGCUGUCACUUAUAGAUGGAUCCGCGCCGCAUUAGCUAGUUGGUAAGGUAACGGCUUACCAAGGCAACGAUGCGUAGCCGACCUGAGAGGGUGAUCGGCCACACUGGAACUGAGACACGGUCCAGACUCCUACGGGAGGCAGCAGUAGGGAAUCUUCCGCAAUGGGCGAAAGCCUGACGGAGCAACGCCGCGUGAGUGAAGAAGGUCUUCGGAUCGUAAAACUCUGUUAUUAGGGAAGAACAAAUGUGUAAGUAACUAUGCACGUCUUGACGGUACCUAAUCAGAAAGCCACGGCUAACUACGUG